CCCGGGCCAGUCUGGUAACCACUGGAACGGUGGCUAAUACCGGAUGUGCCUAUGGGUGAAAGGUUGGCUGCCUGGAGAUGAGCUCGCGUCUGAUUAGCUAGUUGGUGGUGUAAGAGACUACCAAGGCGACGAUCAGUAGCUGGUCUGAGAGGAUGAUCAGCCACACUGGAACUGAGACACGGUCCAGACUCCUACGGGAGGCAGCAGUGGGGAAUUUUCCGCAAUGGGCGAAAGCCUGACGGAGCAAUACCGCGUGAGGGAGGAAGGCUCUUGGGUUGUAAACCUCUUUUCUCAAGGAAGAAUGAUGACGGUACUUGAGGAAUCAGCAUCGGCUAACUCCGUGCCAGCAGCCGCGGUAAUACGGAGGAUGCAAGCGUUAUCCGGAAUGAUUGGGCGUAAAGCGUCCGUAGGUGGCUGUGUGUGUCUAUUGUUAAAGAGUUUGGCUCAACCAAAUAAGGGCGGUAGAAACUACACAGCUAGAGUGCGUUCGGGGCAGAGGGAAUUCCUGGUGGUGUAGCGGUGAAAUGCGUAGAGAUCAGGAAGAACACCGGUGGCGAAAGCGCUCUGCUAGGCCGCAACUGACACUGAGGGACGAAAGCUAGGGGAGCGAAUGGGAUUAGAUACC
rnacentral:rRNA from 1 species